CCUAAUUCCUCCGCCUAAGCAUUUGUUUAUCUAAUGAUUUCCAUAUCACUAAUAGGGGCACCUUAUCAGUUACAGUCUGAUUAGCACAGACAGUGAUUUCCGUAAAAUCACUAAUCUGACUUUUGAACUCACCUGUUAAUGGCAGAAAGGUGUGAGUCGCUAUGGUUUGUUAAUUGGAUCAGUUUGCUACACCAAUCAACUUCUCAUUGACUGACUUCGGCUUAUGUAUACAAGAUUGCUGUUGUUUGAAUCUCAUGGGACCAAAUUUCCUUCUCGAGUCAUCGUGUGUAUUUAUGAGACGAAUUCGUGUAACCGGUAUUCAAAUGAUGACAACUAUAACAGGGAAUGGUCGGGACCGACAGGUACUUCGAGUUAUGCAUAAUAUUCGAGAUACCGGCAUUCAACUCAUCGGGAUUGGACUGUAUUUACAAAACAGCGUCUGAAUAGAAUUUAGAAUCAGGCCAUUAAUAAAAUCCUAAAUUUGUGUAUUGUGUGAGUAAAUGAAAACUUCAUUCUAUCACAGAAGUUUAUGUGUAGAUGAUACUAUUUUCAUAAUGAUAAACAUUAAUAAUUUUUCUUGACGCUAUUUCUGAUUAUCGAACUUUUUUUUAGCCAGUCCUAUUACCCAACCCUUUCAACAACCCCACGCCCAUGCACCUUUACACCUCAAGCUCCAGACCGCCCAAACAUUACCCCAAGACAAGGAUAUCAGUUUAUAAUAGUGUUCUGGUAAGAUAAACAUAUAAUCCUCAUACCGUCAGUCAGUGUAGACUUGUCACUGUUGCAGGUUGAAGGACAUGUUUUUAUAUAGACUGGUGAUGGCCAGGUUUGAUGUGUACAAUGUUGUAAGAAGCGAUGUUGGACGAGGAUUGUCUUUCAGUCAUGUUUGCUGGAUGUUGUCUGUGAUAAGUGUGAUUUUAACGGGUAUUUAUUGACUUGUGUUGUGAUGACAUCUGUUUAGCAUGGAUACAUCAAUGUAUCAUCGAGGGGAUAACAUCUACAUUGUAUCGAUACAGGGACCCAACUGUAGGGUUGACAAGGAUUUAUUAUUGAGGUAUACCAUUCACAGGGUUAACAGCUGUUGAGUAUUGAGGUAUACUAUAGACGGGGUUGUCAUGUUUUAGUAUUGAGGUGUCACAUGCAUAGAGUUAACGACUGUUUUGUAUCGGUACAGGUAUACCAUGCAUAAAGUUGACAACUGUUUUGUAUCGGUACAGGUAUACCAUGCAUAGAGUUGACAACUGUUUCAUAUCGGUACAGGUAUACCAUGCAUAGAGUUGACGACUUUCGUAUCGGUACAGGUAUACCAUGCAUAAAGUUGACGACUUUUGUAUUGAUACAGGUAUACCAUGCAUAGAGUUGACAACUGUUUCGUAUCAGUACAGGUAUACCAUGCAUAAAGUUGACAGUUGUUUUGUAUCGGUACAGGUAUACCAUGCAUAGAGUUGACGACUUUUGUAUCGGUACAGGUAUACCAUGCAUAAAGUUGACAACUGUUUUGUAUUGGUACAGGUAUACCAUGCAGAGAGUUGACAACUGUUUAGUAUCGGUACAGGUAUACCAUGCAUAAAGUUGACAACUGUUUCGUAUCGGUACAGGUAUACCAUGCAUAGAGUUGACAACUGUUAAGUAUCGGUACAGGUAUACCAUGCAUAGAGUUGACAACUGUUAAGUAUCGGUACAGGUAUACCAUGCAUAGAGUUGACGACUGUUUCGUAUCGGUACAGGUAUACCAUGCAUAGAGUUGACAACUGUUUUGUAUCGGUACAGGUAUACCAUGCAUAGAGUUGACAACUGUUUUGUAUCGGUACAGGCAUACCAUGCAUAGAGUUGACGACUGUUUCGUAUCGGUACAGGUAUACCAUGCAUAAAGUUGACGACUGUUUUGUAUUGAUACAGGUAUACCAUGCAUAGAGUUGACAACUGUUUCGUAUCAGUACAGGUAUACCAUGCAUAAAGUUGACAGUUGUUUUGUAUCGGUACAGGUAUACCAUGCAUAGAGUUGACGACUUUUGUAUCGGUACAGGUAUACCAUGCAUAAAGUUGACAACUAUUUCGUAUCGGUACAGGUAUACCAUGCAUAGAGUUGACAACUGUUUAGUAUCGGUACAGGUAUACCAUGCAUAAAGUUGACAACUGUUUUGUAUUGAUACAGGUAUACCAUGCAUAGAGUUGACAACUGUUUUGUAUCGGUACAGGUAUACCAUGCAUAAAGUUGACGACUGUUUUGUAUUGAUACAGGUAUACCAUGCAUAGAGUUGACAACUGUUUCGUAUCAGUACAGGUAUACCAUGCAUAAAGUUGACAACUGUUUUGUAUUGAUACAGGUAUACCAUGCAUAGAGUUGACAACUGUUUCGUAUCAGUACAGGUAUACCAUGCAUAAAGUUGACAACUGUUUUGUAUCGGUACAGGUAUACCAUGCAUAGAGUUGACGACUGUUUCGUAUCGGUACAGAUAUACCAUGCAUAGAGUUGACAAUUGUUUUGUAUCGGUACAGGUAUACCAUGCAUAAAGUUGACAACUGUUUAGUAUCAAUACAAGGCCCCCAUCUAUAGGGUUGACAUCUGUUUGGUAUUGAUACAUGAUACAGAUUUUUAUGAAGCAAGAGAAUAACAUCCAUUUAUAUCAAUACAAAUAUGUACCAUCUGUCUAUCAGUUGGUUAGCCUACCACUGUACAGUGUGUAUCCAGUUGUUAUACAGUAGUGCUGGAUAUAUCCCUAGCAUGAUAGCUUGCGUUUUGUCGGUGUACGUCCCGAGCCAUGAGGUCUAAUGCUGGUACUAGCAUCAUGGUGCCCCGAAAGGCCAAUAUAUAUAUAGUAUGGUGAUGAUUAAGUAUGAAAAAAGUAAUAAUAUACCGUAUAUAUUUGGACUCCAAUUUUACGGUUUUCUUUUCCUGUAGUACUGUAUUGUAGCCAGCAAAACGUUGAUGUUAGGGGUUACUUUUAAUCUGUUAAUUUUGAACCUGGAUAGGUUGGUUUAAUGUUUCCAGUGAGGCUUUUUUUUUGCAGCUUAAAAAUGUGAGAAAUCGGUUCUCCUGUUUAUCCUAAACAGACUUGACCUUUAUGAGACUGACAAGUGAUAACAUCAGUUUCUAUUCCCUUCUGCAUGCUGUGCUUGAUUUCAAGUAUAUUGUUGCCUUAUUCACACUAACAUUUUCACAUACUUUCUGAGGUGUGGUCUGUACAGAUUCUCACUGCACUCUGCCUGGUUUAUAGUACAACGUCAUUAUGCCACUCAAUGGAACACUCAAGCCUAAAACAUCAGUACAACACAGAUCUUUGUGGCCUACAUCUGUGAUUAAGCUGAAGAUUUGAUGUGUUUUAGGAACUUCCCCAUGACUAUUGUUAGUUUGAUAUAAUUUCAUGUUUAAUGCAAAAUCUGGCUUUGAAAAGCUCCAGUCAAAAAUGAGGCGUGGACCAGUUGGAUAAUAUAUCUUUGAGAGGGAUUUAGAACAUGUUUGAACAUGAAGACAUCAAACUUUUUAUCAUAUAAUGGCUACUGUUAGCAAUGUGAUAACCCUGGUAUUAGCAUAAUGUGAUAAAUAUGCAAAUGAGGUAACUGGGCAGGAACUACUUACAUGCUAAGGUCUGUGUAUCAAAUCGGUGCUUGCUUACUGAAAAAAAUAUUCCCAUACAGUUCCUAAUACAUAAGACAAAAAUGGCAGCCAUUCAUCUGAAGCUUUAUCAUAAAUAGGGCGGUGUAUUCGUGUUGCAUUUCUUCAGUUUCUUUAGUCACAUUACAAGUAAAUAUGUACUCAGUUUUUGUUAUUUUAAGAUUAGCAUUAUAUGAUAAAGGGUUUGUGUGCUUCCAUAUCAAAAAUAUAUACGGUGUUGGUUAUGUUUGUCAAGGCGAACAUCAUACAAGUUUUGUUAUGGUUCAUAGUAACUAUACAGAAAUACACUUAGCUUGGUAUGGCUGACGAUUAUUCUGUCUAUCCAUGUUUCAGGGCUACUUCCUGCCACUUCACCUGAUGUCUGUUUAAUGUUUGUUUAAAGCCACACUCUGCAAUAUCCAGCUACAUGAUGGCGGUCUGAUAAUAAUCACGGACCAAACAAUCCAGUGAUCGAUAUCAGUCACCUAUGUCAAGUAUGGGUUGCUGAAGACCAGUUAAAACAUGAAGGAGCCGGAAGCUGCCCUAAAAUGUAUGGAUAAACAAUAACUUGCUGGCCAAGUAUCCCAUCAUCCUGUCAGACUUUCGCAAACUGUGUAUUGACACAAAGUAGAACUUAGGAGGCACAGCUAACCCAGCCGUCUGAGCUAACCAUAGGUCGCUGUGGAGAGUUCCUUACCUUAGGUGUAAUAGAAACCUAUGAUCAUGGGUUGGAAUCUGAGAUACUCAGAGAUUGGUUCUUGGUUCACUGGCAGCAUGCUGGUAUUCGAGUUUCAGUGAAGUGGAAAUUAUCUGACUGACCAGUGGUUUAACUGAUGUAAACACCAUGGUAGAACUUAAAUAACAUUCAAAGCCCAUUAUAUCAAACUGACAGUUAGGACUUGAAUUGGCUGAUGUUUAUGACUGACUAAUGGUAGCAUCUCACAGGAGCUUGGCCGCUCCUCUGGAUUGUUUUAGCCUUGACUAGUCUCUUGUUCUUAUGUAGACAGGCCUCUGUGAGGGCCAGAUUUUAUACUGGAUCUGAUGCGAUAUGUGUGUAUAUAUUAGCAGUUCAUUUGUAGAUGUGUAUGUGUACAGCUUAGCAGCAGAUUAUUUAUUAAUUUGUUUGUACAUUUAUGAUUACAUAGAAAACUGAAAGUGCUUUUAAUUCUUGAAAUUUAGGAAUAUUUGUGCUUGUGUUUUUUUGGAGAGAAAAACUUCUUUUACAAAUUGUGUGCUGUGUACAUUUAUUAUAGAUGUUGUCUUGCAGCAUGUUGUUGUCCAGGGGGUUAUAACAAGGUCACCGAUUUGAGAAGGAACACAGUUUGCCUCAGACAAGGAAAUUCAUACUCCUCGCAGAGGGUAUUUGGAAAAUAUAUUUUGGGGGGGAUAUAAACUUUUGAUGGAAUUUACAAAAAUAUUUUGAUAUGAGUUAUUAUAUUAACCCAUGUGCUUCUGUUUGAUGCAUGGCCAGGUGUAUUUAUCUACUCAUGGUUACUGUGUCUGCAUGUUGUCUGUUAUUACAACUAGUUUGUAUCGUGAAGUUUCCACCUCCUCAGUGUCCACACAGUGCUGUAUUUAUAGCAGUCCUUAUUUGCUGCUAUGCCACCACCAGCCAGCAAAAUAAAAACUCUAAAAUACUU